GGUGAACCUGCGGAGGGAUCAUUACCGAGUUUACAACUCCCAAACCCAAUGUGAACCAUACCAAACUGUUGCCUCGGCGGGGUCACGCCCCGGGUGCGUCGCAGCCCCGGAACCAGGCGCCCGCCGGAGGGACCAACCAAACUCUUUUCUGUAGUCCCCUCGCGGACGUUAUUUCUUACAGCUCUGAGCAAAAAUUCAAAAUGAAUCAAAACUUUCAACAACGGAUCUCUUGGUUCUGGCAUCGAUGAAGAACGCAGCGAAAUGCGAUAAGUAAUGUGAAUUGCAGAAUUCAGUGAAUCAUCGAAUCUUUGAACGCACAUUGCGCCCGCCAGUAUUCUGGCGGGCAUGCCUGUCCGAGCGUCAUUUCAACCCUCGAACCCCUCCGGGGGGUCGGCGUUGGGGACCUCGGGAGCCCCUAAGACGGGAUCCCGGCCCCGAAAUACAGUGGCGGUCUCGCCGCAGCCUCUCCUGCGCAGUAGUUUGCACAACUCGCACCGGGAGCGCGGCGCGUCCACGUCCGUAAAACACCCAACUUUCUGAAAUGUUGACCUCGGAUCAGGUAGGAAUACCCGCUGAACUUAAGCAUAUCAAUAAGCGGAGGAA
rnacentral:rRNA from 1 species